CUUUACAAAUCAAUGAGUUGACUUCAGAUCAAUGAUCAUUCUCUACAUCAAAAUAUGAGAUCAAAUAAAAGUUAACUAUGAUUUGUACAUAUUUUUCUUUUUCUG